GUGCUUGCUUCGGCAGCACAUAUACUAGAAUUGGAAUGAUACAGAGAAGAUUAACAUGGCCCUGUACAAGGAUGACACACAAAUUAGUGAAACAUUCCAGAUUUUC
rfam:Pteropus alecto contig22300, whole genome shotgun sequence.